rnacentral:rRNA from 1 species
ACCUCCCACCCGUGUUUAUUUUACCUUGUUGCUUCGGCGGGCCCGCCUUAACUGGCCGCCGGGGGGCUUACGCCCCCGGGCCCGCGCCCGCCGAAGACACCCUCGAACUCUGUCUGAAGAUUGUAGUCUGAGUGAAAAUAUAAAUUAUUUAAAACUUUCAACAACGGAUCUCUUGGUUCCGGCAUCGAUGAAGAACGCAGCGAAAUGCGAUACGUAAUGUGAAUUGCAAAUUCAGUGAAUCAUCGAGUCUUUGAACGCACAUUGCGCCCCCUGGUAUUCCGGGGGGCAUGCCUGUCCGAGCGUCAUUGCUGCCCUCAAGCACGGCUUGUGUGUUGGGCCCCGUCCUCCGAUCCCGGGGGACGGGCCCGAAAGGCAGCGGCGGCACCGCGUCCGGUCCUCGAGCGUAUGGGGCUUUGUCACCCGCUCUGUAGGCCCGGCCGGCGCUUGCCGAUCAACCCAAAUUUUUAUCCAGGUUGACCUCGGAUCAGGUAGGGAUACCCGCUGAACUUAAGCAUAUCAAUA